UUACUCAAUGCUGUCAGUACAGUAAUUAGGGCACCUUGUUACUCAAUGCUGUCAGUACAGUAAUUAGGGCACCUUGUUACUCAAUGCUGUCAGUACAGUAAUUAGGUUAUCUUGUUACUCAAUGCUGUCAGUACAGUAAUUAGGGCACCUUGUUACUCAAUGCUGUCAGUACAGUAAUUAGGUUAUCUUGUUACUCAAUGCUUGUCAGUACAGUAAUUAGGAUACCUUGUUAUUCAAUGCUGUCAGUACAGUAAUUAGGUUACCUUGUUACUCAAUGCUGUCAGUACAGUAAUUAGGAUACCUUGUUACUCGAUGCUUUCAGUACAAUUGUCAUUACUGAAUGCCAUCUGUAAAUUUACUUUUUUUACAUAAUAUGUCAUUUUCAUUGUUAAAGUACAGUGGCAUUGUUAACAGAUCAGCAUGUGUGUGUUAUAUUUGUCGUAAUAAAUGAAAUAAAUCACAAUUUGGAGAUGACUGGAUUUUGAGUUGCACAAUAGUAAUUUACUAUCGUGCCAAAUGAGUACAUUCCAUUACCACAUGUACCUUAUAAUACCAGGAAUAAGUAGCAGCUGUCAGUAGCAUCCACAAUGCAAUGUAAUUCGAUUUUCAACGAAUAGAAUGCUUUAUUAUUUUUAGUUUUGCUCAUUAGCAUGUAUUUGUUACGUAUAAUCUGAUUGGUGGUUAGGGAACACAUUCCAAGAUGUCUUACUAGUCUUUCUUAUUACAAUUUACCUUGCAGAGUAGAUUUCCACAGUUAUUUACUACUAUACAUGUACAUACUCAAUUCCAUCUUUGUAUAUCUGCACAUUUUCACUCUUUACUACAUUAAAUACAGCAUGUUUUAAAAUUAAACAGCAUGUAGCUUUCAAUACCAUGUAUUUUACCCAUCUUGUAUAAUAAUGUAAUUGGUGUGAUGAUAAUGUACAGACCACACCCUCUGUUUCUGACUUUCAAAUCUAAAAGAGUCUAAACCUUGAAACUUUAGUACAUAUUGAAUUAAACAUGUUACAUCAAAUUGAUAUCUCAAAAUAAUGUCUGAAAGAGAAAACAAGUUUCGGAAAUGACUACUAAUUGAGAAUGCUUUUGUGAGGUCAUUAACUGUAUUCGUUCUAUUUGAAGCCCAUCUCUAAUAGAAGUGUACAUAAGCCAAAAAUUGCAUUUAUUGUAUGUAGAAUACUCAAAAUGAUUUAUUUUAACCGUAUAACCCAUUUGUUAUUUAUGUAAGCACUACUAAUAGAGCAAAUGUGGUAUACUUGUUUGAUGGAAGACAGGCAUAUGCCAAGGUGACCUGUACAGUUACUGUCACAAAUGUAAUCAAUACUGAUUUUGUUUAUAAACCAGUUUGCCAUGAAACUGAGAAUAAAUGUUUUCACAUGCUGAAAUCAGGAUAUGAAAUCAUGCAGGUGGUCUUGAACUCUGCAAAUACUGGUUAACCGGUCUCCACUGAAAAUAAAACUACAUAUGCUGUGUAUAGAAACAACUCAAGGCUAGUAAACAAUGGACAUUUAUGAUUGAUUUUCACAUUAUAAUUUUUUAAUAGUUUGUGAUUUGUCAAAUAUGUCUGAAAAAUUGCAUCUUUUUUUUUAAAUGAUUACUACUACUAUUAGGUUAUUAUUUUGUUGAUGUUUGAUAGCUUAAAAAUUUAAAAAAGAUUUUAUAGUAUUUUAAUUUUGUCAUUUAUUAAAAUUUGCGUAUCUUAGAUUGAGUGAUUUCUAGCAAACUUUACAAAAAUUGCAUUGAGCCUCAUAUUCAGUGAAAUUUAUCAGCAGUCUUUAACUGAUAUGUGUACUAUUGUAAUGUUUAAAGUGUUAACUGUCUAUUUCAAUAUUUAAUUUUACAGGCUAUACAUUGCAUGAUAUAAAUUUGAGGUGGAGAUAAUAAUGGUGACAUAUUUGUGUAUAAUACAAGACCUCUAUGUGGCUGCCACACAAUUCAGUUACUUAGUGUGUACCAGACUAAAUAUUUAAACAGCACAAUUUAAUUAUUGUAAACUAGUCCAUGUAGUUUGCUAUUAAGUCACGUCAGUCUGUAUUAGCCAUAUAACUUAUUCUGUUAAGAGAUUGUAUAUUGAGUCCAGAGCAUUGACAACAACUGGCUGCACCGUAUUGGAUUGUAUUGACCUAACUUGUUGGCUUAAUCAUGUAAUAUCCUAGUUUAGUUUUCUAAACUAAGCCCAUGUAUCAUUCACAUGUGACAAUUUCCCAAAAUUUCACCCGAAACAUUGAUUUGAUUGAAAGUGAUUGCUGGCAUGUUUAGCAGCUUAAUGUAACUGCACUAUGUGGUUUAACACUAUACUAUCUAAACUAUCGGUACCCCCCCCCCUUUUAUGAAUUCAAAUUUCAUGUAGAGAAGCCUUUUAUACAUGUUGUUACAUGGGACCAAUAUUGAACAUGAUGCAUUGCAUAGACUGUGGCAGCUUACAAAAUUAUCACAGUAGUCUUCAUUAUUGUUGUCUAUAUAUAUUGUAGCUGACCACAUUUAAAUAAGGAUUUUGACCAACCAUAUGUGUAUGUCUAUACACAGUGAUCUAAGGUGCUGUACAUCAACGUUAUCUCCAGAGCUAAAAUCAUCCCGUGUCUGGAGUUAUCAAGCAGGUGAAAUAGAUAAACAAUGGUCAUGAUUUGUACACUUUGCGAUUCACCCCCCCCCCUCCAUGUUUAAUUGCACCGUUCUGUGUUCAUUCUCAGUUUUCUAUGUAAAAAUGAAUUAGCAUUUCCAUUUAAAAUAUUGUAUUUCUUUGAUUUCUAUGGAUGUUGUCCUUAAAAAUUGUGUUUGCAAAUUAUUUGAAAAGCCCAUACGCAUUAUUGUGAUGUUUGACUACUUGUGAAAGUACAAACUGGAAUAAGGUUACAUCAUGGUGUUUGAUGACUACUUGUCAAAGGUGAAAGUACAAACUGGAAUAAGGUUACAUCAUGGUGUUUGAUGACUACUUGUCAAAGGUGAAAGUACAAACUGGAAUAAGGUUACAUCAUGGUGUUUGAUGACGACUUGUCAAAGGUGAAAGUACAAACUGGAAUAAGGUUACAUCAUGGUGUUUGUACUUUCACCUUUGACAAGUAGUCAUCAAACUGGAAUAAGGUUACAUCAUGGUGUUUGAUGACUACUUGUGAAAGUACAAACUGGAAUAACGUCACUGAUUUAUAAUCACAGUAUGCUAUGGCACCAGAAUACAUCAUUUGAAUAUGCAAGUUGAAGGUUACUGAUCCAUUUUAACAUGUUUGUAUGCAUCUGUAUUUCAAUUAUGAUGAAAACCCAGAUUAUAUGUAGGCCUUUGUUUUAAAUUAUAUUGUCGGUUUACUUGUGUUCUUGUUUUCUUUGUCAGUAGAAUGAUUAAACUUUACUGGUGUUAUUAUAGUAUUAGACGGAAUGCUAAUAAAAGUUUAUUGCAACACUA
rnacentral:lncRNA from 1 species